rnacentral:rRNA from 1 species
CAGCCGCCGCGGUAAUACGGAGGGUGCAAGCGUUAAUCGGAAUUACUGGGCGUAAAGCGCACGCAGGCGGUCUGACAAGUCAGAUGUGAAAUCCCCGGGCUUAACCUGGGAACUGCAUUUGAAACUGUCAGGCUGGAGUCUUGUAGAGGGGGGUGGAAUUCCAGGUGUAGCGGUGAAAUGCGUAGAGAUCUGGAGGAAUACCGGUGGCGAAGGCGGCCCCCUGGACAAAGACUGACGCUCAGGUGCGAAAGCGUGGGGAGCAAACAGGAUUAGAUACCCCCUGUAGUCCCUGUCUCUUAUA